GAUGAACGCUAGCGGCAGGCUUAACACAUGCAAGUCGAGGGGCAGCGCGGGAUAGCAAUAUCCUGGCGGCGACCGGCGGAAGGGUGCGUAACGCGUGAGCGACAUGCCCGUUGCCCGGGGACAACCGGUGGAAACGCCGACUAAUCCCCGAUGGGAUAUUGUGCCGCAUGGCACGAUAUUGAAAGUUACGGCGGCGACGGAUUGGCUCGCGUCCGAUUAGCUUGUUGGCGGGGUAACGGCCCACCAAGGCUGCGAUCGGUAGGGGUUCUGAGAGGAAGGCCCCCCACAAUGGGACUGAGACACGGCCCAUACGCCUACGGGAGGCAGCAGUGAGGAAGAUUGGUCAAUGGGCGGAAGCCUGAACCAGCCAUGCCGCGUGCGGGAAGGAGGCCCUAUGGGCUGUGAACCGCUUUUGCCUGGGGGCAAUAAGGGCGUCGCGCACGUCCGAUGAGAGUACCAGGCGAAUAAGCAUCGGCUAACUCCGUG
rnacentral:rRNA from 1 species